ACACUGAAGCCCGAACUUCCCGUGGUCUUUGAAGUGAAAUUAGUCUCCUUAUAAAGCUCCAUGUUUUGGCAUUUUCCUUCGGCACAAUAAUAUUGUAAAACUCUCUUGCUGGGUGUUAUUCACCCCCUUUGAGCACUAUGGCACCAACCUGUUCCACAGCAAAGUGAUUGCUAUUUCUGGUCGCUCUGGAACCUGUUCAAUACUAUCCAAAUUAUGAAUUGGACUUCUUUCUAAUGUCUUAUAUGUAAUUGCCAUGUUGUUGCUCAUCUCUUUUGGACAAGCUAAUGAAGAUUUGGGUGGUAUAUAUUUUUUCUUGCAUUCAUCUGAAGGAGAUUGUGC
rnacentral:lncRNA from 1 species